UGGGGAAUAUUGCACAAUGGAGGGAACUCUGAUGCAGCGACGCCGCGUGAGUGAUGAAGGAAUUCGUUUCGUAAAACUCUGUUCUAUGGGAAGAAAAGGACUGUACCAUAGGAGAAAGCUCCGGCUAAAUACGUGCCAGCAGCCGCGGUAAUACGUAUGGAGCGAGCGUUGUCCGGAAUUAUUGGGCGUAAAGGGUGCGCAGGCGGCUUUACAAGUUGGAUGUGAAAUAUUGUGGCUCAACCACAAACGUGCAUCCAAAACUGCAAAGCUUGAGUUAAGGAGAGGUAAGUGGAAUUCCUGGUGUAGCGGUGGAAUGCGUAGAUAUCAGGAGGAAUACCGGUGGCGAAGGCGACUUACUGGACUGAAACUGACGCUCAGGCACGAAAGCGUGGGGAGCAAACAGG
rnacentral:rRNA from 1 species